GGCCGCAGCCAGAACCCAGCCGCCUCCCAACUAGAGGCUCGGCUCCCAGCCCUGCCGAUCACCUCCUCGGCGCCCACUAGGCCUGCGGGACAGCCCCUUUUGCCCGCUCCAGGAGGCUCUCGAGCCCUGGCGUCGGCCCGACCCGCCUCUGCCGCAGGCAAGGCUGCGCUCCUCUCGGGACCUCCGCCUCUGCCCUUGUGGGCUCCAUCAGCUCGGUACCUGGGGCUCCGUCUCCCCCGUCGGGCCCAAGCCUGUGUGGAACAGACAAACAGCUGCAGCUCAACCAAACUCCUGCCCCCUUCGCCUCCUCCUCCUCCUCGCGGGCGGAGGCUCCAGCCAAUCCCAAGACCACCCGCCUACCGUGGUGGGUGGGCUAUAUGGGCAUUCACCCGCCAAUCCUCUGGAGAAAGGCGGGCUUUGAGGGACUGUCACCAACUAGUACAAGUGGGGACCAGACUGGCGAGGCCGCAAGCCAAUACCUAAACGAGAAGCCUUGAAGAUUGGCGGGAUGAGUAGCCAUUAAAGAGAGUGCUUCUGGGAAAGGGGGCAGUGCAGCACUGACAGGCAUGUGCCUCAGCCAAUAAAACCUCGACACCCGUGACACCCCUCCCCCGCCUUUUGACUCGUAAACAUCUAAUCAGCUUUGCUGAGGAUUUUUUCCGGUACUGAGGGUUGAACCCAGAAGACCCAAGGCUUGUUCCCAGUACCACAGCGUGCUGGCUGCUCGUUGCCCACAGCUCGCAGCUGACUGUACCUCUGGAAGAGAUGCAGCGUCCUCUCCUGGCCUCUGCGGACACUAGAGACUCACAUGUACACACAAUUUCACAGUCAAACAAAACCCUACACAAAAUGGUAAAAGCUUCCUGGGAAAUGGUGUUGAGAUGGAUGUCCCUGAAGCCCACUCAAGUCAAGUUGCUGCUAAGAGAAAAACUGAAACGGUGUUCUGUAUUGGUGUGCCUGUGUGCAUAGGGGAAAGUAGGAAGGAAGUUUCCCCACCCUUAGAAACACCCCACCACAGCGCAUGGCAGAUGCCCUGCAUACACAGAGAUUAGGUGGAAGGAUAUGAACUAUAUACUGACUAUUCUCAUUCAGAAUUUCACCCACACCAUUCUUUCAAGUAAAUGAAUAAAUGAUAAAUAUGAAAGAGAUUCACUAUACACCUGA